GAUGUACGCUAGCGGCAGGCUUAAUACAUGCAAGUCGAGGGACAGCACAGGUAGCAAUACUGGGUGGUAACCGGCAAACGGGUGCGGAACACGUACACAACCUUCCUUUAAGUGGGGGAUAGCCCAGAGAAAUUUGGAUUAAUACCCCGUAAUAUAGUUGAAUGGCAUCAUUUGAUUAUUAUAGCUACGGCGCUUAAUGAUGGGUGUGCGGCUGAUUAGAUAGUUGGCGGGGUAACGGCCCACCAAGUCUACGAUCAGUAGCUGAUGUGAGAGCAUGAUCAGCCACACGGGAACUGAGACACGGGCCCGACUCCUACGGGAGGCAGCAGUAAGGAAUAUUGGUCAAUGGACGCAAGUCUGAACCAGCCAUGCCGCGUGAAGGAUUAAGGUCCUCUGGAUUGUAAACUUCUUUUAUUUGGGACGAAAAAGGGCCUUUCUAGGUCAACUGACGGUACCAGAUGAAUAAGCACCGGCUAACUCCGUGCCAGCAGCCGCAGUAA
rnacentral:rRNA from 1 species